AUGCCGCUCACGACCUCUCCACACCGCCAUUCAUCUCCGUUUGGAUUUGCCCGUUCACAUCUCUGCCUUAUUUUCAACGAUUUCGCUUCGCUGCAAUCUCUUCACCGUGAAGGUUUCAUCGCGAUUUUGUCUUCCGACGAUCUUCCACCGUUGUUUGAUUGGAGAUACUCCGUCGACGUAGAUCAACAAACAUUGAAGAUGGAUCAACAGAGUGAUGCAGUUGAUGGAUGCAGGGAAGUUUGA